UAAGGAAUAUUGGUCAAUGGACGAAAGUCUGAACCAGCCAUGCCGCGUGAAGGAUGACGGCCCUCUGGGUUGUAAACUUCUUUUAUAUGGGACGAAAAAAGGGAAUUCUUUCUCACUUGACGGUACCAUAGGAAUAAGCACCGGCUAACUCCGUGCCAGCAGCCGCGGUAAUACGGAGGGUGCAAGCGUUAUCCGGAUUCACUGGGUUUAAAGGGUGCGUAGGUGGGUAGGUAAGUCAGUGGUGAAAUCUCCGAGCUUAACUCGGAAACUGCCAUUGAUACUAUUUAUCUUGAAUCAUCUGGAGGUAAGCGGAAUAUGUCAUGUAGCGGUGAAAUGCUUAGAUAUGACAUAGAACACCAAUUGCGAAGGCAGCUUACUACGGAUGUAUUGACACUGAGGCACGAAAGCGUGGGGAUCAAACAGGAUUAGAUACCCCCGUAGUCCCUGAGCGGGCUGGCAAGGCGCAU
rnacentral:rRNA from 1 species